rnacentral:rRNA from 1 species
UACGUAGGGGGCAAGCGUUGUCCGGAUUUAUUGGGCGUAAAGAGCGUGUAGGCGGUCCGGUCAGUCGGUUGUGAAAGUCAAGGGCUCAACCCUUGAAUGCCGGCCGAUACUGCCGGGCUAGAGUCCGGAAGAGGUGAGUGGAACUCCUGGUGUAGCGGUGAAAUGCGCAGAUAUCAGGAAGAACACCAAUGGCGAAGGCAGCUCACUGGGACGGUACUGACGCUGAGACGCGAAAGCGUGGGGAGCAAACAGG